rnacentral:rRNA from 1 species
CCUACGGGAGGCAGCAGUGGGGAAUAUUGGACAAUGGGCGAAAGCCUGAUCCAGCAAUGCCGCGUGAGUGAUGAAGGCCUUAGGGUUGUAAAGCUCUUUUACCAGGGAUGAUAAUGACAGUACCUGGAGAAUAAGCUCCGGCUAACUCCGUGCCAGCAGCCGCGGUAAUACGGAGGGAGCUAGCGUUGUUCGGAAUUACUGGGCGUAAAGCGUACGUAGGCGGUUAUUCAAGUCAGAGGUGAAAGCCUGGAGCUCAACUCCAGAACUGCCUUUGAAACUAGAUAGCUAGAAUCUUAGGAGAGGUGAGUGGAAUUCCGAGUGUAGAGGUGAAAUUCGUAGAUAUUCGGAAGAACACCAGUGGCGAAGGCGACUCACUGGACAAGUAUUGACGCUGAGGUACGAAAGCGUGGGGAGCAAACAGGAUUAGAUACCCCGGGUAGUCCACGCCGUAAACGAUGAUAACUAGCUGUUCGGCUCUACGAGCUUGAGUGGCGCAGCUACGACAUUAAGUUAUCCGCCGUCGGGAGGUACGGUCGGCGAAGAAGUUAAACGUUAAAGUUAAGUAAGUUAGUUACGGUCGUUGUUAGACGUUGCCGACGGACGACGACGAGGGAGGAGG